CUCUGUGGCGCAAUGGAUAGCGC
rnacentral:piRNA from 1 species